GUGGUUGUAGCUCAGCUGGUUAGAGCGCUGGAUUGUGGUUCCAGAGGUCGCCGGUUCGAACCCGGUCUUCCACCC
rnacentral:tRNA from 3 species